rnacentral:rRNA from 1 species
UGGACCUAUUGCAAGUCGAGCGACAGAAARGAGCUUGCUCCUUUGACGUUAGCGGCGGACGGCUGAGUAACGUGGGCAACCUACCCUAUAGUUUGGGAUAACUCCGGGAAACGGGGUAAUACCGAAUAAUCUCUUUUGCUUCAUGGGAAAGACUGAAAGACGGUUUCGGCUGCGCUAUAGGAUGGGCCCGCGGCGCAUUAGCUAGUUGGUGAGGUAACGGCUCACCAAGGCGACGAUGCGUAGCCGACCUGAGAGGGUGAUCGGCCACACUGGGACUGAGACACGGCCCAGACUCCUACGGGAGGCAGCAGUAGGGAAUCUUCCACAAUGGGCGAAACCUGAUGGAGCAACGCCGCGUGAGUGAAGAAGGUUUUCGGAUCGUAAAACUCUGUUGUAGGGAAGAACAAGUACAGUAGUAACUGGCUGUACCUUGACGGUACCUUAUUAAAAGCCACGGCUAACUACGUGCCAGCAGCCGCGGUAAUACGUAGGUGGCAAGCGUUGUCCGGAAUUAUUGGGCGUAAAGCGCGCGCAGGCGGUCCUUUAAGUCUGAUGUGAAAGCCCACGGCUCACCGUGGAGGGUCAUUGGAAACUGGGGGACUUGAGUGCAGAAGAGGAAAGUGGAAUUCCAAGUGUAGCGGUGAAAUGCGUAGAGAUUUGGAGGAACACCAGGGCGAAGGCGACUUUCUGGUCUGUAACUGACGCUGAGGCGCGAAAGCGUGGGGAGCAAACAGGAUUAGAUACCCUGSUAGUCCACGCCGUAAACGAUGAGUGCUAAUGUUAGGGGGUUUCCGCCCCUUAGUGCUGCAGUAACGCAUUAUGCACUCCCGCCUGGGGAGUACGGUCGCAAACUGAACUCAAGGAUUGACGGGGSGCCCGCACAAGCGGUGACAUGUG